rnacentral:rRNA from 1 species
UACGUAGGGUGCGAGCGUUGUCCGGAAUUAUUGGGCGUAAAGAGCUCGUAGGCGGUCCGUCACGUCGGGCGUGAAAAUCCAGGGCUCAACCCUGGACCUGCGCCCGAUACGGGCGGACUAGAGUUCGGUAGGGGAGACUGGAAUUCCUGGUGUAGCGGUGAAAUGCGCAGAUAUCAGGAGGAACACCGGUGGCGAAGGCGGGUCUCUGGGCCGAUAUUGACGCUGAGGAGCGAAAGCGUGGGGAGCAAACAGG